GCACCUGUGGCUCAAAGGAGUAGAGUGCUGGGCCCAUAGACCAGAGGCGGCAGGUUCAAACCCAGCCCGGAGCA
rfam:Otolemur garnettii contig017194, whole genome shotgun sequence.